GCGGGCGGGAUCCCCACCCACUCCGGCAGCCGGAGCGCCGCGCACACGCACUCGGCAGGAACAAAGAGCCGCCCGGCGCCCCCGCCAUCCAGCCGUGGAAAAGCCGACAAGACCCACCUCCACGGGGAGCCCCAGGAGAACACCUGAGGGGGAAGAUGUCUUUGUAUUGAAAUGUCUUCCUUUAACACAGUCCUGAUUCGUAGGUGGACUUGUAACAUGCAAAUCUUUGCAAAAGAGGAGGUGAGCCGAGAUUCAGUGUUGCCCAAGACUGCUCAGCCAUCACACAACCCUCAUUGAGUUCAUUUCCUCUAGCCAUAUGAAGAGGAGACAUAACCUAAAUAACCAUCUUGAAGUUACAAAAUUGGGAACAAAUCUCAAGGAAGCCAGGGGAGGUUUAGAUUAGAUAUCAUGAAAUAUGUCUUCACGAAAAGGGUUGUCAAGCACUGGAGGAGGCUGCCCAGGGAAGUGGUUGAGUCACCAUCCUGGAAGUAUUGAAAAGAUGUGUAGACGUUGCACUUAGGGACAUGGUUUAGUGGGGACUUGGCAAUGCUAGGUUAACAGAUUUGAUGAUCUUAGAGGUCUUUUCUAAAUGAUUAUGUGAUUCUAAGUACGUAAGUUGUUUGCCUACCCAUUAAUAAUAGCUAUUAGUCACUACUCAGUUCUUGAGUAUCAGCUUUAUGCAGAGCAGUAGCCUUAUCAACCACUGGUGCCUUCCCCAUGCUUUUUUGCUGGCUCAGAUUUCUUGUGCAAAUAGAAACAGACAUUAUUUUUCUGGGCAUAAGUCAACUUUGAAAUCAUCCAGCCUGUCACGCUUCUCUCUCUUUUGUUUAUAAUCUGGAAACUUUCUUCUGCAUAUGCACAGGGCAACAGCACUGUUGUUUGUUAGUCUUUCAAACACUCUUGUAGUGCAAGUAAUACCUCCCAGUCUUAUAAGAAGGACUGGAAAGGAAGAUAGAGCACAGCACAAAGCGUUGACUUCCAGAUGAUGUAACUUUCAUAAGUACAGCGCCCAGUGUACUACUUUGCCACCAGAUAGCACUUAAUCUAAAACUUUUGUUGGUAUCUCCUCUGUCCCUUUGGAAGAAGAAAUGGAAAAAUGUUGAGAGUAAAAAUCAUCUGGCUCUAAUUCUGCUGUGUGUCAUUAGAGUGAGUAAUAAAAUCCAGUUUUCACUGCUACAGGUAGCUGUAAUAUUUAUUUCCAGAGGUAAAAGAGUUGAGUUUCUAUAUGUUUAGCCCUAGACAAAAUGGGCUAAGGUUGUUAUCACUAGUAAUGGUACUAGCCUUAAUUCUUAGAAGUGCAUUGUUCAUCCAGUAAGAUUGCAAAGUGAUUUAAAAGAUGAAUUAGGAGCAUAUGUAAUAUGGAGUUUAUUGACAUCAGUAACAUACAACGAAAAAAAAGCCAAGAAGAAGUUUAUAAUAAGAGUAGUGCUGGAUGAUGCAAUGAGGUGAGAAGGUUCAGUUAGAUGUUAUAAAAUAAAUUUGCACUGAAAGAGUGGUUAAUCACUGCAGUAAGUUGCCCAGGGAGGUGGAGUCACC